CUUUCCCAUAACAUACUCUGCCGUUCCUGUCUCCCCAUCUGGAACUGUCCUUUCUUCUUUCAAAUUCUAUUAUCCCUUAAAAUCUGAUCAGCUCCUCAUCUUCCACGAAGGUUUCCCUCACUACCCAGCCUAAAACAAAUUCUAGUAGUACUCAAUUGUCUGCAGUUACUUUUUUGUGUGUGUAGGUCUCAUCUCCCCUCAAAAUCCCAGAUAGAUUAUAAACUCUUAAACAGGAAGUUAGUGUCUCUUGGUGUGUAACCCCACCAUGCUAGUCCAUAGUAGAUGACCAGUAAGUGGUUGAAUGAAUGAACCAUCUAUUCUUUUCACCUCUUUUUGGGGACAUCUUUGCUUUUCACAGAGGAUAGUGCUGAUUUGGACAGCAUUGAAGCAGUUGCUAAUGAAGUAUUGAAAAUGGAGAUGCCUAGCACCCCACAGCAGUUACAGAACUUGACAGAAGAUAUACGUGAACGAGUUGAAAGCCUUUCUCAAGUAGAGGUUAUUCUUCAGCAUAGUGCUGCUGACAUUGCCAGAGCUGAGAUGUUGUUAGAAGAAGCUAAAAGAGCAAGGUAUCUAAAGACAUGGCAUCUAAGGGGCUUAUUCUGUGUAUCAAUCAUGGAGUAAAAAGUAUCUCUUUAACCAAUGAAACUUCUAAGAAGGACCUAUGCGAGUCUCUCUGGGUCAUCUCAGGAAGGCUAUUCUUUAAAGAAAAGAACACUGAGAGUACUUUUUUCAUGUUCAGCAACAACAUACUGUCUCAUUAUUUUUUACUCAGCAAAAGUGCAACAGAUGUUAAAGUCACUGCAGAUAUGGUAAAGGAAGCUCUGGAAGAAGCAGAAAAGGCCCAGGUCGCAGCAGAGAAGGCAAUUAAACAAGCAGAUGAAGACAUUCAAGGAACCCAGAACCUGCUAACUUCGAUUGAGUCUGAAACAGCAGCUUCUGAGGAAACCUUGUUCAACGCGUCCCAGCGCAUCAGCGAGUUAGAGAGGAAUGUGGAAGAACUUACGCGGAAAGCUGCCCAAAACUCCGGGGAGGCAGAAUAUAUUGAAAAAGUAGUAUAUACUGUGAAGCAAAGUGCAGAAGAUGUUAAGAAGACUUUAGAUGGUGAACUUGAUGAAAAGUAUAAAAAAGUAGAAAAUUUAAUUGCCAAAAAAACUGAAGAGUCAGCUGAUGCCAGAAGGAAAGCUGAAAUGCUACAAAAUGAAGCAAAAACUCUUUUAGCUCAAGCAAAUAGCAAGCUGCAACUGCUCAAAGAUUUAGAAAGAAAAUAUGAAGACAAUCAAAGAUACUUAGAAGAUAAAGCUCAAGAAUUAGCGAGACUGGAAGGAGAAGUCCGUUCACUCCUGAAGGAUAUAAGCCAGAAAGUUGCUGUGUAUAGCACAUGCUUGUAACAAAGGAGAAUAAAAAAUGGCUGAGGUGACCAAGGUAAAACAACUACAUUUUAAAAACUGACUUAAUGAUCUUCAAAAUAAAACAUCACCUAUUUAAUGUUUUUAAUCACAUUUUGUAUGGAGUUAAAUAAAGUACAGUGCUUUUGUAUAUA
rnacentral:sRNA from 1 species